rnacentral:rRNA from 1 species
GACGAACGCUUUCGGCGUGCUUAACACAUGCAAGUCGAACGGAAAGGCCCUGCUUUUGUGGGGUGCUCGAGUGGCGAACGGGUGAGUAACACGUGAGUAACCUGCCCUUGACUUUGGGAUAACUUCAGGAAACUGGGGCUAAUACCGGAUAGGAGCUCCUGCUGCAUGGUGGGGGUUGGAAAGUUUCGGCGGUUGGGGAUGGACUCGCGGCUUAUCAGCUUGUUGGUGGGGUAGUGGCUUACCAAGGCUUUGACGGGUAGCCGGCCUGAGAGGGUGACCGGCCACAUUGGGACUGAGAUACGGCCCAGACUCCUACGGGAGGCAGCAGUGGGGAAUAUUGCACAAUGGGCGGAAGCCUGAUGCAGCAACGCCGCGUGCGGGAUGACGGCCUUCGGGUUGUAAACCGCUUUCGCCUGUGACGAAGCGUGAGUGACGGUAAUGGGUAAAGAAGCACCGGCUAACUACGUGCCAGCAGCCGCGGUGAUACGUAGGGUGCGAGCGUUGUCCGGAUUUAUUGGGCGUAAAGGGCUCGUAGGUGGUUGAUCGCGUCGGAAGUGUAAUCUUGGGGCUUAACCCUGAGCGUGCUUUCGAUACGGGUUGACUUGAGGAAGGUAGGGGAGAAUGGAAUUCCUGGUGGAGCGGUGGAAUGCGCAGAUAUCAGGAGGAACACCAGUGGCGAAGGCGGUUCUCUGGGCCUUUCCUGACGCUGAGGAGCGAAAGCGUGGGGAGCGAACAGGCUUAGAUACCCUGGUAAUCCACGCUGUAAACGGUGGGUACUAGGUGUGGGGUCCAUUCCACGGGUUCCGUGCCGUAGCUAACGCUUUAAGUACCCCGCCUGGGGAGUACGGCCGCAAGGCUAAAACUCAAAGGAAUUGACGGGGCCCCGCACAAGCGGCGGAGCAUGCGGAUUAAUUCGAUGCAACGCGUAGAACCUUACCUGGGUUUGACAUGGAUCGGGAGUGCUCAGAGAUGGGUGUGCCUCUUUUGGGGUCGGUUCACAGGUGGUGCAUGGCUGUCGUCAGCUCGUGUCGUGAGAUGUUGGGUUAAGUCCCGCAACGAGCGCAACCCUUGUUCACUGUUGCCAGCACGUUAUGGUGGGGACUCAGUGGAGACCGCCGGGGUCAACUCGGAGGAAGGUGGGGAUGACGUCAAGUCAUCAUGCCCCUUAUGUCCAGGGCUUCACGCAUGCUACAAUGGCUGGUACAGAGAGUGGCGAGCCUGUGAGGGUGAGCGAAUCUCGGAAAGCCGGUCUCAGUUCGGAUUGGGGUCUGCAACUCGACCUCAUGAAGUCGGAGUCGCUAGUAAUCGCAGAUCAGCAACGCUGCGGUGAAUACGUUCCCGGG